rnacentral:misc_RNA from 1 species
GAUGAAGAACGCAGCGAAAUGCGAUACUUGGUGUGAAUUGCAGAAUCCCGUGAACCAUCGAGUCUUUGAGCGCAAGUUGCGCCCGAAGCCAUUAGGCCGAGGGCACGCCUGCCUGGGCGUCACACGUCGUUGCCCCCCCAUCUACUCCUUCGGGAUUGCGGGGGGCGGAUGAUGGCCUCCCGUGCGCCUCGUCGCGCGGUUGGCAUAAAUGCCAAGUCCUCGGCGACGCACGCCACGACAAUCGGUGGUUGCGAAACCUCGGUUGCCCGUCGUGUGCGGUCGUCGCGCAUCGAGGGCUCGAAAAAAUUGCCGGGCUCCGGCUCGGCUUUCAACGCGACCCCAGGUCAGGCGGGGUUACCCGCUGAAUUUAAGCAUAUCAAUAAGCGGAGGA